GAAUAUUCGACAAUGGGCGAAAGCCUGAUCGAGCGACGCCGCGUGUGGGAUGACGCCCUGCGGGGUGUAAACCACUUUUAUAAGGGAGGAAUUUUUGACGUUACCUUAUGAAUAAGGGGCUGCUAACCUCGUGCCAGCAGCAGCGGUAAUACGAGGGCCCCGAGCGUUAUCCGGAAUUAUUGGGCGUAAAGGGUUCGUAGGCGGCGUGUAUUGUCGCGGGUUAAAGCUCCCGGCUCAACCGGGAAAGUGCUCGCGAAACGUACAUGCUAGAGGACGUAAGAGGCAAGCGGAACUCACGGUGUAGGGGUGAAAUCCGUUGAUAUCGUGGGGAACACCAAAGGCGAAGGCAGCUUGCUGGUGCGUUCCUGACGCUGAGGAACGAAAGCGUGGGUAGCGAAUGGG
rnacentral:rRNA from 1 species